GCAGGACUUGCUUUCAGUGUCCAUCUACGCCAGUCCCAUCCAUUAAUUGAUGAACGGGCGCAACCAUCAGAUCUAAUGGCGAGGUUUAACUUCCUAGAUUUAUCGGACUUUUUCUUUUGAGCUACAGACUUCUUACUUGCUGUUUGCUUGCUAACAUCAUCUGCUAUUGUCGAGACCUUAUUACAAGACAAGGAUACCUCAUCAAUCUUCU
rnacentral:misc_RNA from 1 species